rnacentral:rRNA from 1 species
UACGUAGGGUGCAAGCGUUGUCCGGAAUUAUUGGGCGUAAAGAGCUCGUAGGCGGUCUGUCACGUCGGCUGUGAAAACCCGAGGCUCAACCUCGGGCCUGCAGUCGAUACGGGCAAACUAGAGUACUGCAGGGGAGACUGGAAUUCCUGGUGUAGCGGUGAAAUGCGCCAGAUAUCAGGAGGAACACCGGUGGCGAAGGCGGGUCUCUGGGCAGUGGCUGACGCUGGAGGCGCGACAGCGUGGGGAGGCAAACAGG